AUUUUAUUUUAAAAAGAAUGAAUUUACAUACAGUACAUGAGCAAGACAGCCGAAGGCUCCCAAAAUAGAAACCCGGAGCAUUUGGGCCCGAAACAGCACAUGCUUUGGUUACACUCGGGAAGCACGAGUCGCCCACUGCGGGGAGAAGAUGCCGUGUCACCCGGCGACCAGCAGGCAUGUUGGUACAGGGAUUCCGGGCACCGCCACUCAGGGGUUUUCAGCUCAGGGUCCCCUCUGUGUGUCCUUCCGCACCUGCUGUGGCGCCGCAGGUCGGGGGCAAAACCAGCGUGGGGGCGGCCGGUUAGAAGGCUGCUGGGGCGGGCAGGCCCCGGGGCGCUGGGAGCAGGAAUGUUCCAGACAGUGCGCCUUCUGGUGGGCUCCUGGAGGCGCCCGUCAUCCGAGGGCAUUGGGGUCACGGCUUGCACACGCAGGCCUGGCCAGGCCGCAGGCCCUACACACAUGCUGGACGCACCGCGGGGAGCUUGGCUUGCAGAUUCUUCAUCUCCCGGGCUGCACUGGGGCCGCACUGGGGCCGCGCUGGGGCUCCGUCCAGGCUGCGGCUGUACCGGCAGGGGGCAGUCUCUCCCAGGGAGAGAAACCCUAAUGGUCCCAAGGCAGCGGAGGGGCGGGUGGCCUAGGUCUCCGUGUGGAAGGGACAGGCCUGGGGUGGGGCCUGGGGCGUGGGAGGUGCGUGCAGGGCCGGCCAGCAGAGGCCAGCCGCCUCACUCCAGGCCGCAGAGACUAAAAUCGUCCUCAUGGACGGAUACCUCUUUCUCCAGGUGCAAAACAACACACUUCUUUAAAAAGCGACCAACCACGACAGCAUGAUCCACGGCUAAGGCCAAUGUCCUCAGUCCAACCCUGCGAGUUCGUGUAAAUGCAGCCUUAAGUACAUUCACAUAAAGACGAUACUACGGCCGAUGGCUGUCCCGUCGUGGGGACUUAAAGGACAGCAUUAAAAAUCACACACACGCUUGCAGGAACCGCCAACGCCCGCUGCUGUGACAGUUACAGCCCCUCCUCUCAAAAGAUUGAGGUGGGAAGACCCCAUCCUUUCACCCAUUGGCCUCAGAAAAAUCAACAGAGGUCAUUCUUGUGGGAAUAUCAUCAGGGCUGCCGGGGAGGGGCCUCACCCGCCGCUGGGGUGGGGGUGGGG
rnacentral:lncRNA from 1 species